rnacentral:rRNA from 1 species
GACGAACGCUGGCGGCGUGCUUAACACAUGCAAGUCGAACGGAAAGGCCCUGCUUUUGUGGGGUGCUCGAGUUGCGAACGGGUGAGUAACACGUGAGUAACCUGCCCUUGACUUUGGGAUAACUUCAGGAAACUGGGGCUAAUACCGGAUAGGAGCUCCUGCUGCAUGGUGGGGGUUGGAAAGUUUCGGCGGUUGGGGAUGGACUCGCGGCUUAUCAGCUUGUUGGUGGGGUAGUGGCUUACCAAGGCUUUGACGGGUAGCCGGCCUGAGAGGGUGACCUGCCACAUUGGGACUGGGAUACGGCCCAGCCUCCUACGGGAGGCAGCAGUGGAGAAUAGUGCACAAUGGGCGGAAGCCUGAUGCAGCAACGCCGCGUGCGGGAUGACGGCCUUCGGGUUGUAAACCGAUUUCGCCUGUGACGAAGCGUGAGUGACGGUAAUGGGUAAAGAAGCACCGGCUAACUACGUG